rnacentral:lncRNA from 1 species
UGCGUCCACUGCGCCGCUGCGAAGACCAACGACCGAGAGCUCUGGCUGCCAGCUCCUCCCCGGCCACUUCCGCCCCUGGCCGAGGAAGGCCCAAGCUGCGCCACAGGAGCUGGUCCGUCCGUCCGCCCCGCGCCCAGGCCUGGCAGCCCGUGCUCUGGCGGACCCCGACGCGCACAUGGACGCACGGACCUCCGAGGGUCCCCACGGGGACCCGCUGCGGGACGCGGUGAGUGGUCCCGGCGGCCCGGACUAAGCAGCCAGAACCUGUGCCUCUAGGACGCCCCCGCCCCUUCCUGGAACCCGUGAAAGUCCUGCCCCACCGCUGGAGCCGGGCUGGUUUUUAGAGCCCCGCCCCAGGAGGGGUGACUUUGGACCCUCUGAGUCUUCCGCGUCCCGCCUGCUCUCCUAUUUGCCAAAACAGGUUCCAAGCCUGGAAGAGGCAGAUAGGUUUACCCUGUUAAAAAGAAUUUACUACAUGAACAGACUGCAUUUUCCUGACCAAGGUGGACGCCCCUGAUUGAAGGAGGCAACUAGAGAUAAGGAUGGCAGCUCCGCAGUGAGAAGGCAGACUAGGAGUGCUGGUCCAGUGCUUCCACCGCCAACAAAUACAGGGGUGAGAGGUCUCAGGUCAUAAAUUAUUUAACGUGCAAACUAGAAAAAGCAGCGCAGAAACGUGAAACGCUAGCUGUAACGAUAUUCUGCGCAACCUGGCUGAUAAUACCAACUACAACACCAACGCCACCAGCUGGUGAACACCCGUAGUAAGGAGGAUACAUGAGCUGUGAAUGGCUUCGCCUCCUUGGGGAGCUCUUGAGAGUGACUGAGGCUGCUCCCUGUGCUCCUCCCUAGACUUACAUUUCAGCUCUCAGACGGUAGGUGUGUGCUCAUUGCGAGUUAACUGCGUAGUGUACAGAUGCAGUUUUGCACAGUCAUCUCUUUCUGGUGCUUGGCACCUUUGUCAAAAGCCACUGGAGCCCACGUAUGCAGCAUCUAAACGUUUUGUAUUUUCUUUUUAUUUCUCUGUAGAGCCAAACAAAUGAAAAAUAAAUCUAUUCAAAGAUGCAGGGGAAAAAAACACUGGAGCAUGUAUGAUGGAUUACUUCAUUAAUAAUAAAUGUUGAGUACUUUGUGGUUCCAUUUUCCAGGCAGAACAUCUACUUCAGGAACUUCAAGAACAUUUUCAAGCUCUCACUGCAGCCUUAAACCUGAGAAAUAUCCUCUUCUGUCUUUGGUAAACACUAAUGCUUUUGGACAGGCACAUCUCCAUUGUCUUCUGCUGUGGACAAAUAGUUGUUUAUUUGGAUUCUCCAGUAUUUACACUUGCCCUUCUAAGGGGCUUUUCCUGUGCUGUCAAUGCCAGAGGUCUGUGGCAAGUGUGAAGUUCAAGGGCACCACUCUGCUCCUGACCACCUGGACAACCUGGUCUGCAACAGUUAGAGGACGGUGCUCAAGUCCAAUAGGAGGCUAGACACUGCUGUGCCUUUGCUUUGUUUUGACUUCCCCGGCUCACUCUUUUAUUUCAGAAACACAAAUGUUACAAAAUUAACACAGAAUGUUUCCAAUGAGUAAGUUCAGGUAAGGGCAAAAAGUGCAUUAAAACUUGCCCAAUUUGAGCUCACUUUAUUCAACUAAGUGCAUUCCUUAAACAUUGUGCAAAGUAUUUACAUUUGGAAGUGCUUACCUGCAGCUUUUGAUUUUACCAACAAGGUAAAACAUGAUAACACGAUAAAUUAAACCAUAGAGUUGUUUUAAAAGUUAAAUUUCCAUUAUAUUAUGCUCAGAGUUUGGCAGGUUUAAAAGCCAAGUUUCUCACUUCAAGGUUCAAGAUACACACUAAAAGGGACUCAGGAGGCAGCAAAUUUGCAUUGACCCUUCAUUUUACAAGUUCCUCUCUGUGGAGAAGGUAUGGCCUUGAGGGCGUGUCUGUGGUCACUCUGCACCCCAGACCUACAUGUGCAGUUUUCCUUGACGUGGCACUGGAAGACAUGGGGAAUCGCAUAGAGGACUUACAGAAGAAUGUGAAUGUCCUAAUGGAGCAGGCUGGGGUUGGAAAUUCCACUGAAGAGCAAACAGUAAGUUCAUCAUUAGGCAACUGUUUGCCUUUUGCAUAUCUUUUAAUUGCUUUCAUCUUGAAAAAUACAAUCCCAUAUUUGUUCACUGUGCAAAUACUGUUGCUGUAUUACUGAAAAACCAUUAGAAACAACACAUUUCCAAAUGCUCUAAUCCAGUUAUACCAACUGAAACACUCUUUUCCAUAAUUCCUUAAAAGUGCACAUUUUAGAUGAAAAAUUCCUAUUUCAAAGUUGGAUUUUAUUAGGGUACUUUUCAUCCCUACUCCUUAAAUUAGUCUUCAGCUAGAACACAAAUCACAGUGAACUAGAGACUGGGAUUAUAACUAGUAGUUCCUGUUUAGAUAACUUAUCCAUGUCACACACUGAAGUCCUAUGCACAGAAAGUCCUUAACACAUUUCCUGAGUGGCCCACCAGGGCCUGGAUCACCCCACAAUGGGAACUUUCCCAUGCUAAUGCAGUCUUGAGGAUGCAAACAGAUUCCUAGCUCCAGGUCUGAGACCUGGAGUGUAGCUUUAUUAAGGUAAGUAUGCAUAUUAUCAUGACAGUACUCCAACUAUGACCAUCUUUUCAUUGAACAAUUUAAAGGCCUUGGUUUACUCACAAUUGCUAUCCUAAGUCGGAUAUCAAAUUAUCCCUUCUUGUCCUGCUAAAUUAUAGUUGCCUCUGUCAGUGACAUUAAUUGCAGUGAGUUAUUCUAAGCAGAGUCCACACUGAUGCCAUUGGACUAAAAAGGCCCUUGUAUCAUUUGUUUUUCUGAGUGCUAAAUUUUGCCUACAUAACAAUGUUGUAAUAAUUAUAAGAAAUUAGGGUACUUUAUUAAAAACUGUAUUCAGAUGUAUUUACCUGUAAACUGGAAUCCACAUCACCUAACUGCUUUCAAAUUUUUUCUUACAGACCUGAAGAUGUUAUUGGACAAGUCCCGUGAAACUAAUACAAUGAACACUUUGAAGGAGUAAUCAUCUAUGUAAUAUGGAUUCUGAUUCUCAGUACUUAAUUUUAAGAUUAUUUAUUUUUUUUGGGGGGGGUCCUGGGAAUGGAACUCAGGGCCUCAGCAUGCUAGGCCCUGAGUUGCACCUCCAGUCUAUCAGAAUUCUUUUUUUUCCCUUUUAGUUUUAAUUGGAUGCAAUACCUUUAUUUUAUUUAUUUUUAUGUGGUGCUGAUGAUUAAACCCAGUGUCUCACACAUGCUAGGCAAGCACUCUACCACUGAGUCACAACAUCAGAAUUCAUUUUAACAAAUAAAAAGAUUAAAAGAGGGCUGGGGAUAUGGCUCAAGUGGUAGUGCGCUCGCCUGGCAUGCGUGCGGCCCGGGUUCGAUCCUCAGCACCACAUACAAAGAUGUUGUAUCCGCAGAAAACUAAAAAAAUAAUAUUAAAAAAUUUCUCUUUAAAAAAAAAAUUAAAAGAAUAAGAAAUAAGAAUUCAAAAGGUGGUGAACUACUUACCAAGAUAACUGCAAACAAUGGAGAAAUAUUUUUUCAGUGCAUAAUAUUCACAAAUUAUGGAAGAAAAGCAUAUGCUGUAUGAAUACAUGAAUACUUUUUCCAAGUUAAAAUUCUACAUGGAUCUUUUAAGGAUCACCAGCAGUUUUCUAUCGG